CCUACGGGCGGCAGCAGUGGGGAAUAUUGCACAAUGGGCCCAAGCCUGAUGCAGCCAUGCCGCGUGUGUGAAGAAGGCCUUCGGGUUGUAAAGCACUUUCAGCGGGGAGGAAGGCGGUGAGGUUAAUAACCUCAUCGAUUGACGUUACCCGCAGAAGAAGCACCGGCUAACUCCGUGCCAGCAGCCGCGGUAAUACGGAGGGUGCAAGCGUUAAUCGGAAUUACUGGGCGUAAAGCGCACGCAGGCGGUCUGUCAGGUCGGAUGUGAAAUCCCCGGGCUCAACCUGGGAACUGCAUUCGAAACUGGGAGGCUAGAGUCUUGUAGAGGGGGGUAGAAUUCCAGGUGUAGCGGUGAAAUGCGUAGAGAUCUGGAGGAAUACCGGUGGCGAAGGCGGCCCCCUGGACAAAGACUGACGCUCAGGUGCGAAAGCGUGGGGAGCAAACAGGAUUAGAUACCCUUGUAGUC
rnacentral:rRNA from 1 species